UAAGAGCUCGGGUGAAAAAAAAAU
rnacentral:piRNA from 1 species